AUGGCGAAUGGGAGUGAUUCGGCGGACACUGUACGGUUGCGCGAUCGGGACCUUCAAUGGCGGCGACGUUGGAGGUCAGCCGUUGGUGGUAGCUACAGAUCUGCGGGAUAUCAGAAUCACCAGUCGCGGCGUUGUAGCCAGCUGAUGAUUGUCGUGGUGAUAGUUGUGACAAGCUACAAUUUGGAUGCUGGUAGUGUUCGACGAAGGUUUCGCUCAUGGUGA